GGCCUGGUGGUCUAGUAGUAUGAUUCCUUCUUAGGGCCCGAUCAGGACUGUAUUUGGAGGAGGUCCCGGGUUCAAUUCCCGGCCAGGCCC